GGCCACCGCGCGGGACCCUCAGGUGCGGGGAGGCGGGCGCGGGGCGGAUCGCCGCAGGCAUGGGCUGGCAGGCCGGAUCCCUGCGGUUCCUGUGSAAAAGCCAUGAACGGGGGCAAAUCUCUUCAUCUCUUGUCAUGCUAAAAUGAACUCGCUGUGUCUCUUCUUAUAGCUAUGAACUUACUAUUUCUUUUUUUUUUUUUCCUUUUAGUUCAGAGCCUUUCCUCAAGUUUUGACCCGGCUGAUGACGGCACUUCUAUCCCUGCAAUCGUUGGGCGAACGCUGCAGGAAACCUCYCUUGUCGGCUGUCUCGCCCCGGAAAGCUCCCGUCGGGUGAAGGGGAGUCUUCGAGCCCGGGCCCCGCGCGCGUUGCCGCGCGGCCUCGGACGAGAGCGGUCCCCGUCGCCGCACGCCCAGUGCGAGGGAGCUUUGCCGCGGACRCUGGGCGGACGGAGUAGAGGAGCCRGAAGCCUGCAACAAAGCCGUGGCAUCGCGGUGGAGGGAUCUGAUCCGGGCUGCGGUAACGCUCGGAGACCUGGGUUUGGGAUGUGCCCCAUCACGCUGCGA
rnacentral:lncRNA from 1 species